rnacentral:rRNA from 1 species
CCAGACUCCUACGGGAGGCAGCAGUGGGGAAUAUUGGGCAAUGGGCGCAAGCCUGACCCAGCAACGCCGCGUGAAGGAAGAAGGCUUUCGGGUUGUAAACUUCUUUUAAGAGGGAAGAGCAGAAGACGGUACCUCUUGAAUAAGCCACGGCUAACUACGUGCCAGCAGCCGCGGUAAUACGUAGGUGGCAAGCGUUGUCCGGAUUUACUGGGCGUAAAGGGAGCGUAGGCGGCCUGCCAAGUCUGAUGUGAAAUACCGGGGCUCAACCCCGGGGCUGCAUUGGAAACUGGCAGGCUGGAGUGCCGGAGAGGCAGGCGGAAUUCCUAGUGUAGCGGUGAAAUGCGUAGAUAUUAGGAGGAACACCAGUGGCGAAGGCGGCCUGCUGGACGGUGACUGACGCUGAGGCUCGAAAGCGUGGGGAGCAAACGGGAUUAGAUACCCGGGUAA